rnacentral:rRNA from 1 species
AUAUUACUAAGCGGAGGAAAAGAAAUCAACGAAGAUUGCCUCAGUAGCGGCGAGUGAAGCGGCAAUAGCUCAAGUUUAAAAUCUGCGGCCCUUUCGGUCGCCGAAUUGUAAUCUAAAGGGGUUAGCAUCAAGUGAUGUGGAGGCAUAAGUUCCUUGGAACAGGGCAUCAAAGAGGGUGAAAAUCCCGUAUGCAGCCUCUACUGAACCGAAUGCUGGCUUUCUAAGAGUCGGGUUGUUUGGGAUUGCAGCCCUAAAUGGGAGAUAAACUUCUUCUAAGGCUAAAUAUCUAUGGGAGACCGAUAGCGCACAAGUA